AAUUAUCAACUCCAUCAGUUUUGUUAUGAAUCUGUAUGAAGCUUGGAUGUGGGGGUUUGUGCAGGACGCUUCAAAGCUUACUGCUCCCCUUAAAUAAAUUAGCGAGUUCAAACUGGGCUCCGUCUAUUGGUGUGAUAAUUAUCUACGCCGUGGAUUGGGCUUAGACUUGCUUCUAACCGUCUGUAAAGACAAUCUUUUGACA
rnacentral:misc_RNA from 1 species